rnacentral:misc_RNA from 1 species
ACGAGUUAGGGCCUCUGGCCCGAACCUCCAACCCCUUUGUAUCAAAACCUCGUUGCCUCGGGGAGGCCCUGCCUCACGGCUGGCCCCCGAUGGACCACUAAACUCUUGCAUCUGUAUGACGUCCUGAGUAAAGAUUUUAAAUUAAAUCA